rnacentral:rRNA from 1 species
GACGAACGCUGGCGGCGUGCUUAACACAUGCAAGUCGAACGGAAAGGCCCUGCUUUUGUGGGGUGCUCGAGUGGCGAACGGGUGAGUAACACGUGAGUAACCUGCCCUUGACUUUGGGAUAACUUCAGGAAACUGGGGCUAAUACCGGAUAGGAGCUCCUGCUGCAUGGUGGGGGUUGGAAAGUUUCGGCGGUUGGGGAUGGGCUCGCGGCUUAUCAGCUUGUUGGUGGGGUAGUGGCUUACCAAGGCUUUGACGGGUAGCCGGCCUGAGAGGGUGACCGGCCACAUUGGGACUGAGAUACGGCCCAGACUCCUACGGGAGGCAGCAGUGGGGAAUAUUGCACAAUGGGCGGAAGCCUGAUGCAGCAACGCCGCGUGCGGGAUGACGGCCUUCGGGUUGUAAACCGCUUUCGCCUGUGACGAAGCGUGAGUGACGGUAAUGGGUAAAGAAGCACCGGCUAACUACGCG